rnacentral:rRNA from 1 species
CGGGACGGGUGAGUAAUGUCUGGGAAACUGCCGAGUGGAGGGGGAUAACUACUGGAAACGGUAGCUAAUACCGCAUAACGUCGCAAGACCAAAAGAGGGGGACCUUGGGCCUCUUGCCAUCGGAUGUGCCCAGAUGGGAUUAGCUAGUAGGUGGGGUAAUGGCUCACCUAGGCGACGAUCCCUAGCUGGUCUGAGAGGAUGAUCAGCCACACUGGGACUGAGACACGGCCCAG